rnacentral:rRNA from 1 species
CCGGUACUCGCGAAUGCUCUAGAUUAGAGUUGAUCAUGGCUCAGAUUGAACGCUGGCGGCAAGGCCUAACACAUGCAAGUCGAACGGUAACAGGAAGCAGCUUGCUGCUUUGCUGACGAGUGGCGGACGGGUGAGUAAUGUCUGGGAAACUGCCUGAUGGAGGGGGAUAACUACUGGAAACGGUAGCUAAUACCGCAUAACGUCGCAAGACCAAAGAGGGGGACCUUCGGGCCUCUUGCCAUCGGAUGUGCCCAGAUGGGAUUAGCUAGUAGGUGGGGUAACGGCUCACCUAGGCGACGAUCCCUAGCUGGUCUGAGAGGAUGACCAGCCACACUGGAACUGAGACACGGUCCAGGCUCCUACGGGAGGCAGCAGUGGGGAAUAUUGCACAAUGGGCGCAAGCCUGAUGCAGCCAUGCCGCGUGUAUGAAGAAGGCCUUCGGGUUGUAAAGUACUUUCAGCGGGGAGGAAGGCGAUAAGGUUAAUAACCUUGUCGAUUGACGUUACCCGCAGAAGAAGCACCGGCUAACUCCGUGCCAGCAGCCGCGG